rnacentral:rRNA from 1 species
GAUGAACGCUAGCGGCAGGCCUAACACAUGCAAGUCGAGCGGAUGAAGGGGGCUUGCUCCUGGAUUCAGCGGCGGACGGGUGAGUAAUGCGCAGGAAUCUACCUCGUAGUGGGGGAUAACGUCUCGAAAGGGGCGCUAAUACCGCAUACGUUCUGAGGAAGAAAGCAGGGGACCUUCGGGCCUUGCGCUAUGAGAUGAGCUUGCGUCCGAUUAGCUAGUUGGUGGGGUAAUGGCUCACCAAGGCGACGAUCAGUAGCGGGUCUGAGAGGAUGAUCCGUCACACUGGAACUGAGACACGGUCCAGACUCCUACGGGAGGCAGCAGUGGGGAAUUUUGGACAAUGGGGGAAACCCUGAUCCAGCCAUUCCGCGUGAGUGAAGAAGGCCUUCGGUUGUAAGUACGUCUUCUAGCUGGAACGAAACGGUAACGACGUCUAAC